AGCGUACACGGUGGAUGCCCUGGCAGUCAGAGGCGAUGAAGGACGUGCUAAUCUGCGAUAAGCGUCGGUAAGGUGAUAUGAACCGUUAUAACCGGCGAUUUCCGAAUGGGGAAACCCAGUGUGUUUCGACACACUAUCAUUAACUGAAUCCAUAGGUUAAUGAGGCGAACCGGGGGAACUGAAACAUCUAAGUACCCCGAGGAAAAGAAAUCAACCGAGAUUCCCCCAGUAGCGGCGAGCGAACGGGGAGCAGCCCAGAGCCUGAAUCAGUGUGUGUGUUAGUGGAAGCGUCUGGAAAGGCGCGCGAUACAGGGUGACAGCCCCGUACACAAAAAUGCACAUACUGUGAGCUCGAUGAGUAGGGCGGGACACGUGGUAUCCUGUCUGAAUAUGGGGGGACCAUCCUCCAAGGCUAAAUACUCCUGACUGACCGAUAGUGAACCAGUACCGUGAGGGAAAGGCGAAAAGAACCCCGGCGAGGGGAGUGAAAAAGAACCUGAAACCGUGUACGUACAAGCAGUGGGAGCCUCUUUUAUGGGGUGACUGCGUACCUUUUGUAUAAUGGGUCAGCGACUUAUAUUCUGUAGCAAGGUUAACCGAAUAGGGGAGCCGAAGGGAAACCGAGUCUUAACUGGGCGUUAAGUUGCAGGGUAUAGACCCGAAACCCGGUGAUCUAGCCAUGGGCAGGUUGAAGGUUGGGUAACACUAACUGGAGGACCGAACCGACUAAUGUUGAAAAAUUAGCGGAUGACUUGUGGCUGGGGGUGAAAGGCCAAUCAAACCGGGAGAUAGCUGGUUCUCCCCGAAAGCUAUUUAGGUAGCGCCUCGUGAAUUCAUCUCCGGGGGUAGAGCACUGUUUCGGCAAGGGGGUCAUCCCGACUUACCAACCCGAUGCAAACUGCGAAUACCGGAGAAUGUUAUCACGGGAGACACACGGCGGGUGCUAACGUCCGUCGUGAAGAGGGAAACAACCCAGACCGCCAGCUAAGGUCCCAAAGUCAUGGUUAAGUGGGAAACGAUGUGGGAAGGCCCAGACAGCCAGGAUGUUGGCUUAGAAGCAGCCAUCAUUUAAAGAAAGCGUAAUAGCUCACUGGUCGAGUCGGCCUGCGCGGAAGAUGUAACGGGGCUAAACCAUGCACCGAAGCUGCGGCAGCGACACUAUGUGUUGUUGGGUAGGGGAGCGUUCUGUAAGCCUGUGAAGGUGUACUGUGAGGUAUGCUGGAGGUAUCAGAAGUGCGAAUGCUGACAUAAGUAACGAUAAAGCGGGUGAAAAGCCCGCUCGCCGGAAGACCAAGGGUUCCUGUCCAACGUUAAUCGGGGCAGGGUGAGUCGACCCCUAAGGCGAGGCCGAAAGGCGUAGUCGAUGGGAAACAGGUUAAUAUUCCUGUACUUGGUGUUACUGCGAAGGGGGGACGGAGAAGGCUAUGUUGGCCGGGCGACGGUUGUCCCGGUUUAAGCGUGUAGGCUGGUUUUCCAGGCAAAUCCGGAAAAUCAAGGCUGAGGCGUGAUGACGAGGCACUACGGUGCUGAAGCAACAAAUGCCCUGCUUCCAGGAAAAGCCUCUAAGCAUCAGGUAACAUCAAAUCGUACCCCAAACCGACACAGGUGGUCAGGUAGAGAAUACCAAGGCGCUUGAGAGAACUCGGGUGAAGGAACUAGGCAAAAUGGUGCCGUAACUUCGGGAGAAGGCACGCUGAUAUGUAGGUGAAGCGACUUGCUCGUGGAGCUGAAAUCAGUCGAAGAUACCAGCUGGCUGCAACUGUUUAUUAAAAACACAGCACUGUGCAAACACGAAAGUGGACGUAUACGGUGUGACGCCUGCCCGGUGCCGGAAGGUUAAUUGAUGGGGUCAGCGCAAGCGAAGCUCUUGAUCGAAGCCCCGGUAAACGGCGGCCGUAACUAUAACGGUCCUAAGGUAGCGAAAUUCCUUGUCGGGUAAGUUCCGACCUGCACGAAUGGCGUAAUGAUGGCCAGGCUGUCUCCACCCGAGACUCAGUGAAAUUGAACUCGCUGUGAAGAUGCAGUGUACCCGCGGCAAGACGGAAAGACCCCGUGAACCUUUACUAUAGCUUGACACUGAACAUUGAGCCUUGAUGUGUAGGAUAGGUGGGAGGCUUAGAAGUGUGGACGCCAGUCUGCAUGGAGCCGACCUUGAAAUACCACCCUUUAAUGUUUGAUGUUCUAACGUUGACCCGUGAUCCGGGUUGCGGACAGUGUCUGGUGGGUAGUUUGACUGGGGCGGUCUCCUCCUAAAGAGUAACGGAGGAGCACGAAGGUUGGCUAAUCCUGGUCGGACAUCAGGAGGUUAGUGCAAUGGCAUAAGCCAGCUUGACUGCGAGCGUGACGGCGCGAGCAGGUGCGAAAGCAGGUCAUAGUGAUCCGGUGGUUCUGAAUGGAAGGGCCAUCGCUCAACGGAUAAAAGGUACUCCGGGGAUAACAGGCUGAUACCGCCCAAGAGUUCAUAUCGACGGCGGUGUUUGGCACCUCGAUGUCGGCUCAUCACAUCCUGGGGCUGAAGUAGGUCCCAAGGGUAUGGCUGUUCGCCAUUUAAAGUGGUACGCGAGCUGGGUUUAGAACGUCGUGAGACAGUUCGGUCCCUAUCUGCCGUGGGCGCUGGAGAACUGAGGGGGGCUGCUCCUAGUACGAGAGGACCGGAGUGGACGCAUCACUGGUGUUCGGGUUGUCAUGCCAAUGGCACUGCCCGGUAGCUAAAUGCGGAAGAGAUAAGUGCUGAAAGCAUCUAAGCACGAAACUUGCCCCGAGAUGAGUUCU
rnacentral:rRNA from 1 species